rnacentral:rRNA from 1 species
GGAUGACUAGAGUACGAGAGAGGGAGGUAGAAUUCCCACGUGUAGCGGUGAAAUGCGUAGAUAUGUGGAGGAAAUACCGGUGGCGAAGGCGGCCUCCCUGGCUCGAUACUGACGCUGAGGUGCGAAAGCGUGGGGGGCAAACAGGAUUAGAUACCCUGGUAGUCCCACGCCGUAAACGAUGUCUACUAGCCGUUGGGGUACUUGAGACUUUAGUGGCGCAGCUAACGCACUAAGUAGACCGCCUGGGGAGUACGGCCGCAAGGUUAAAACUCAAAUGAAUUGACGGGGGACCGCACAAGCGGUGGAGCAUGUGGUUUAAUUCGAUGCAACGCGAAGAACCUUACCAGGUCUUGACAUCCAGAGAACUUUCCAGAGAUGGAUUGGUGCCUUCGGGAGCUCUGUGACAGGUGCUGCAUGGCUGUCGUCAGCUCGUGUCGUGAGAUGUUGGGUUAAGUCCCGUAACGAGCGCAACCCCUGUCCCUAGUUGCUAGCAGGUCAAGCUGAGAACUCUAGGGAGACUGACGGUGACAAGCCGUAGGAAGGUGGGGACGACGUCAAGUCAUCAUGGCCCUUACGACCUGGGCU